rnacentral:rRNA from 1 species
AAAUUGAAGAGUUUGAUCAUGGCUCAGAUUGAACGCUGGCGGCAGGCCUAACACAUGCAAGUCGAACGGUAACAGGAAACAGCUUGCUGUUUCGCUGACGAGUGGCGGACGGGUGAGUAAUGUCUGGGAAACUGCCUGAUGGAGGGGGAUAACUACUGGAAACGGUAGCUAAUACCGCAUAAUGUCGCAAGACUAAAGAGGGGGACCUUCAGGCCUCUUGCCAUCGGAUGUGCCCAGAUGGGAUUAGCUAGUAGGUGGGGUAACGGCUCACCUAGGCGACGAUCCCUAGCUGGUCUGAGAGGAUGACCAGCCACACUGGAACUGAGACACGGUCCAGACUCCUACGGGAGGCAGCAGUGGGGAAUAUUGCACAAUGGGCGCAAGCCUGAUGCAGCCAUGCCGCGUGUAUGAAGAAGGCCUUCGGGUUGUAAAGUACUUUCAGCGGGGAGGAAGGGAGUAAAGUUAAUACCUUU